GGUUGGGGUUGCCAGUAUGUCAGAUCACCUCUAGGGUCUCCCUUAGCACCACCACAGAACGCAGCUCUUGGAGAUGCUCACCCAGCAACGGAUGGAGAAGACGGAGCACAGACCAAGCGCGGCCAGACGUAAGAUGAAGCUGAAAGAGCUUUUCCGGAAGACUCUACCAAGGCGGCUGCCAAAUGUGGCAUCUAAGCCUGGCAUGAAAGAAGGAAAGGGAGUGUGGCAGAGGAACCAAAGAGGAAACACAGGGCCUGCAGGAUCCCAUGAAACUGCCUUCCCUAGAAUGUCAACUCCCUGACUGAAGGGCCUUUGGUCACUGGUGCAUCCCAGAACUCAGAAGAGUGCUUGGCAUACAGUAGAUGCUCAAUAAUGUGAAUGAAAAUCAUCUGAAAGACCUGCUCCUUCCUGCCUCUC